rnacentral:rRNA from 1 species
AGAGUUUGAUUAUGGCUCAGGAUGAACGCUGGCGGCGUGCCUAAUACAUGCAAGUGAAACGGGUAUCUUCGGAUACCAGUCGCGGACGGGUGAGUAAUACAUAGGCAACCUGCCUUUAUGAGGGGGAUAACCGAGGGAAACUUUGGCUAAUACCGCAUGAAGACUCUAAGGCAUCUUAGAGGGAUAAAAAGUUGGGAAACAACGCAUGAAGAUGGGCUUAUGGCGCAUUAGCUAGUUGGUGAGAUAGAAGCCCACCAAGGUAAUGAUGCGUAGCCGACCUGAGAGGGUGAACGGCCACAUUGGGACUGAGACACGGCCCAAACUCCUACGGGAGGCAGCAGUAGGGAAUUUUUUCCGGCAAUGGGGGGAACCCUGACCGAGCAACGCCGCGUGAAGGAUGAAGGUUUUCGGAUUGUAAACUUCUUUGAUUGGGGACGAUAAUGACGGUACCCAAAAAACAAGCCACGGCUAACUACGUGCCAGCCGCGGC